rnacentral:rRNA from 1 species
GAAGUUUUCAGAGAUGAGAAUGUGCCUUCGGGAGCCGUGAGACAGGUGCUGCAUGGCUGUCGUCAGCUCGUGUUGUGAAAUGUUGGGUUAAGUCCCGCAACGAGCGCAACCCUUAUCCUUUGUUGCCAGCGGUCCGGCCGGGAACUCAAAGGAGACUGCCAGUGAUAAACUGGAGGAAGGUGGGGAUGACGUCAAGUCAUCAUGGCCCUUACGACCAGGGCUACACACGUGCUACAAUGGCGCAUACAAAGAGAAGCGACCUCGCGAGAGCAAGCGGACCUCAUAAAGUGCGUCGUAGUCCGGAUUGGAGUCUGCAACUCGACUCCAUGAAGUCGGAAUCGCUAGUAAUCGUGGAUCAGAAUGCCACGGUGAAUACGUUCCCGGGCCUUGUACACACCGCCCGUCACACCAUGGGAGUGGGUUGCAAAAGAAGUAGGUAGCUUAACCUUCGGGAGGGCGCUUACCACUUUGUGAUUCAUGACUGGGGUGAAGUCGUAACAAGGUAACCGUAGGGGAACCUGCGGUUGGAUCACCUCCUU